UAGUCUGCAACCCGACUACAUGAAGCUGGAAUCGCUAGUAAUCGCGGAUCAGAAUGCCGCGGUGAAUACGUUCCCGGGUCUUGUACACACCGCCCGUCACACCAUGGGAGUCGGAAAUGCCCGAAGUCAGUGACCCAACCGUAAGGAGGGAGCUGCCGAAGGUGGAGCCGGUAACUGGGGUGAAGUCGUAACAAGGUAGC
rnacentral:rRNA from 1 species